rnacentral:misc_RNA from 1 species
UCCGGUUUGUCACCGGCAGUCACCUUAGAGUGCCCAACUGAAUGCUGGCAACUAAGAUCAAGGGUUGCGCUCGUUGCGGGACUUAACCCAACAUCUCACGACACGAGCUGACGACAACCAUGCACCACCUGUCACCGCUGUCCCCGAAGGGAAAGAUGUAUCUCUACACCGGUCAGCGGGAUGUCAAGACCUGGUAAGGUUCUUCGCGUUGCCUCGAAUUAAACCACACGCUCCGCUGCUUGUGCGGGCCCCCGCCUAUUCCUUUGAGUUUUAACCUUGCGGCCGUAGUCCCCAGGCGGUGAACUUAAUGCGUUAGCUGCGGCACUGAUCGGGUCAAUCCGACCAACACCUAGUUCACAACGUUUAGGGCGUGGACUAC